rnacentral:rRNA from 1 species
UACGUAGGUGGCAAGCGUUACUCGGAAUCACUAGGCGUAAAGCGCAGGUAGGAGGUUCGAUAAGUCUGUUGUGAAAGCUCCCGGCUUAACUGGGAGAGGUCAACGGAAACUGUCGAGCUAGAGUGUGGUAGAGGUAGCUGGAAUUCCCGGUGUAGCGGUGAAAUGCGCAGAUAUCAGGAGGAACACCGGUGGCGAAAGCGGCUCACUGGAUCUCUUCUGACGCUGAGGCACGAAAGCUAGGGUAGCGAACGGG